rnacentral:rRNA from 1 species
AUUGAACGCUGGCGGCAGGCCUAACACAUGCAAGUCGAGCGGAUGAAGGGAGCUUGCUCCUGGAUUCAGCGGCGGACGGGUGAGUAAUGCCUAGGAAUCUGCCUGGUAGUGGGGGAUAACGUCCGGAAACGGGCGCUAAUACCGCAUACGUCCUGAGGGAGAAAGUGGGGGAUCUUCGGACCUCACGCUAUCAGAUGAGCCUAGGUCGGAUUAGCUAGUUGGUGGGGUAAAGGCCUACCAAGCCGACGAUCCGUAACUGGUCUGAGAGGAUGAUCAGUCACACUAGAACUGAGACACGGUCCAGACUCCUACGGGAGGCAGCAGUGGGGAAUAUUGGACAGUGGGCGAAAGCCUGAUCCAGCCAUGCCGCGUGUGUGAAGAAGGUCUUCGGAUUGUAAAGCACUUUAAGUUGGGAGGAAGGGCAGUAAGUUAAUACCUUGCUGUUUUGACGUUACCAACAGAAUAAGCACCGGCUAACUUCGUG